AGAAUGAACGCUGGCGGCAUGCCUAACACAUGCAAGUCGAACGAAGGCUUCGGCCUUAGUGGCGCACGGGUGCGUAACGCGUGGGAAUUUACCCCUUGGUUCGGAAUAACAGUUGGAAACGACUGCUAAUACCGGAUGAUGACGUAAGUCCAAAGAUUUAUCGCCUAGGGAUGAGCCCGCGUAGGAUUAGCUAGUUGGUGUGGUAAAGGCGCACCAAGGCGACGAUCCUUAGCUGGUCUGAGAGGAUGAUCAGCCACACUGGGACUGAGACACGGCCCAGACUCCUACGGGAGGCAGCAGUGGGAAUAUUGGACAAUGGGCGAAAGCCUGAUCCAGCAAUGCCGCGUGAGUGAUGAAGGCCUUAGGGUUGUAAAGCUCUUUACCCGGGAUGAUAAUGACAGGUACCGGAGAAUAAGCUCCGGCUAACUCCGUGCCAGCAGCCGC
rnacentral:rRNA from 1 species